rnacentral:piRNA from 1 species
UACAAAUAAAAAUGGUGGAAACUGGUUAC